rnacentral:sRNA from 1 species
UUUAAGUAUGGACUUGAAUAUGACAGUCUUUUCACUGAUGUCCAGGGAAUUUCUACCUUACAGUGCCCGGGGAAUGGGAUCUGGGGCUAGCUUUCUUCCUGAGAAAACCAGUCCUGGCUUUUGGGAUAUGGCUUCUCAUAUCUUGAAAGUACUCUGAUAUUCUGAAAGGAUGGUUGGUUGACACUACUGAGAGUCUACAGGGAGUGUGGGAAGUUACUCUUAGCAAACCUCAUAUUUUGGAAAGACAGAACCCAGGAAAGUUUAAUAAUUCCUGUAGGGACAGGAGUGCAGGCUGAGGUUGUUCACGGGAUGCAGGUGCUGUUCAACUUCUAAGUGCGGGCUGAGUUUAAUUCAACCCCCUUGGCCAGCACAGGCCCAGACAGGGCCUGGCUCUUUCUAGUCACCAAGUUGCCCUGACUCCCUGCCUUCUAGCAGAAUAACAAUUCGGGGGCAAUGUAGCGCUUGCCUUAUCUUCUUUGGGCUAGUUGGAGUUUCAGAGCAAAUACAUUCUUCUCUAGCCGGCUUAGCUUAAAGUCUGUUUACUUGUCCCCAGGAUAGGUGAAUAUUCAGAGGGCUCUGGGAAUGAGACCCAACAAACUGGACUUUGGUCCUCUCUUGCCACCAAUCACUCUGAUUCCUCCAGCUCCUACCUAGGGGAAUGUGUCAGCUAUAGAAGCAAUCUUGGCAUGCAGACUGGGGCAUAUCUCUUUAGGAAACUAGGUGCUGGGCUCAAAGUGAGCUGGGUUUAAGGUUUUAGUCCCCACAGUUUGGGGACACAAGCCAUUCACACAGCCUGCAACUGGGUCAGCACCUAGGAGGCUUUCAAAAACUGGGGCUCAGAUUUGUUCUGACCUCCAAGUAAAAGAAAUAAACAUUCUAGAGAUGCCCUGACACUGAGAUGGUGGAAGAGGGGAAGUUUCCUCAGUGAGCUGUAGAACAAAUGCCCUAGAAACUGCCCCCUGACAAGUAUCCCACUCAACUCCAGGCCGCGAUGGUUCAGGCAGUGGGGGGAUUUUGCAGACAGCAUCCUCCUCUUUGCUCCUCUCCCCCACCCCACCCCAACCCCGCCGUGUAAACACGAGGACUUUCUCGAGAGCCCUGGAGAGCCGCUCUAGUGGCUUCGGGGCCUGAAACCCCAGGCUUGGCUUGUUUGAUGUUUAGCAUCCCAAAGCGGCUCCCCACCCCCGCCCCAGCCUGGGAACCCCGAGCUCCGGGGCCGAAGAGAAGGGGAAGCAGUUCUCUCAGCUGGAGGGCGGUGGAUUGGCUGGGCUUAGAGAAGUGGCGAAAACUACAGGACUCCCCGCCCUGAGCAGGGGAGAAAGGGAUCCCGGAAUGAUGCGGUCAUCCAUGAGGAUAUAGCUGGAGUCCUAAAGGCCAAGAGGCAGACGGGGAAAGAAAUGUCACAAUUUGGGGGAAUACACUGGAGAUAGGGGCCAGGUCGGUGGAAAUAGCUUGGGGCCACCGCGAAAACAAGGUAAGCGGUGUCUGGGUCCAGUUAGUGAGCAUCGAGAACGGCGUCCACGACUGCAGGGCUAUCAGGGCCUCGAGGAGACAGCGCUCCGUGCCACUGCUUAGUGCUUGGCCUUUCAUAGGGACGAACCUGCUUAGGAGUCUUCCAAGAGAUUUUUAAAUCCUCCGAGUCUGGACCUGGAAGCUCCAUUGGCGACGUUUGGAUCUGGCUUCGUAGUCUUUGAUUUCGAAAGCCCAGGAAGAUUCGCAGACUUUCAAGGCCGCACACACCGCAUUGCCGGGAGUCUGGGCGGCGGUGAGGACUGAGAAGCUGUCUCAAGACCUGAGUCUCUUCUCAGGCGAUCCCAGAUAAGAGGAGAGAGAGAGAGCUUUUCUGACUUCCAACUCAUUAGGGACCAGAUUUGCUCUCCAGCACAGCAAAAGGGUCUGCCUGUGACCCUCACCGAACUCACUCUUCACUGCUUUAUAGAGACCAUCAGACUCAGGACAAAUAUUCUAGUUUGGAUGCGCAAUUAAUAAUAAGAAGAUACAGGACAGAGGCGGACUGAAUGGCUCCAAUUCUCAGAAUGUGAAAGCGUAAAUCAGAACCUACUAUUUUGUAAAACCAACUUGGAAAACAAAAUUGUCAGAAGCAAAACAACAACAACAACAACAAUAAAAACCAAACCAACAACAAAACCAAGCAAGUCAGGCUGUUUUACCAAUAAAGGGGGCACUGAAUGGAAUCAGAGAUCUGAUAAGUGCCGGGAAGUUGGACUAAGAGGGACAGGAGACUUCGAAACUUCUCUGAAUACUGCUUUGCUGCUGACUUCCAAGGAGAUCUCACCAGAGCUGAGCUGAAGCCAGGACCAUAGUGUUAUUGACAUUACCCCCAGAGACAUGAAGAAACAUCUGCUGCCCCUAGAUAUGAAACCAACACAGACCAAACCAACUGUCAGUACUGCAAGUGGUCCACCCACCAAAGAGAUGGAACUCAACGUGGUAGAAUAGAAGCUGAGACAUGUGGACUUGACAGACUUGAGACUCGGCUAUUCAUCCCAGCUCUGAGAGCCCAUGCAGCUCAUUGAGCCUUCGCGACUCCUGGUUUUACUUUCAGCAAAAUGGAGAUAUUAAGACAGGUUCCCUUGUGGUCCAGGAGACCUCAAACUCUCUCUGUAGAUGAGGAUAACCUUGAAUUCCUGAUCCUCCUGCUCUCAUCUUUCAAAAUAGAUGCCUCCAAGGUGAUUUACACGUUCUUCUUGUCUUGAGGUUUGGGAUUCCCGUUUUGGGUCUGCAGAAUUGAGACAGUGUUCGUGUUACCCUGAACCUGUGAGCUCAGAAGGAAUUUUCUGGUUUUCGGGAGACGGCAGCCAUUCAUCAUAGCUCUCCACCACUGACUGACUGAGAGUCAAUUAUCAUCAAACAUCCAUCUGCCCAUGAUGCUAAUUAUUCCUACUCCAUGAUUGAGGAUUUGGAGUCGGAGACUCACCUGCAAUAUUUGGAAUACCAGUGGAGAUCCAUAUCAACAUGGAAUUUAUACAGCAGCUGGUGCCAGUCACAGCUAAUGAUGAAACUUCAGCUUAAUAAAAAGACCCCCAACUGAGUACAACCAUCUCGAAGAAAGUGUACUUAUCAAACAGCUUUCAAUCAGUUCAAGAGAGACACCUUAAUUGUGAAGAGCAAGAACCGCACAGCAGUUGUCACCAUGCCAACUUCAGAUCAAUGGCACUUCCACUGCUCUUGGUACAUAUAGCCUUGCCUAUGUCCUUAACUGCACCAACAUCCUUCCUGUUGGGAUGAGAUCUUGUCAGCUGCUAGCGUGUGAUGAUGCCUUCGUUCAUUACAUUACUAUACCCCUUAGCAAAAUUUAAACGUGUAAUGAUAAAGGUCACUACCUUUUCCUUUAAUUAAGACCUCUAUUUCUUGUUACCAGAAACAAGUGCCUAUGACAUUUUGUAUUUUCAGAAAUUAUCCUGUUGAAAUAAAGCUACACAAACAAAAUAAAA